AAGGCCAAGUGUCUUAAAUCCCCCCUUUUCUGUUUUUUUCGUAGUCGAGAAAUCGAGUUUGCGUUAGCUCAUCGCAGGCUCAGGGUGCAACGAUUAAGCCAAAAUGCCAUCGAUUCCCUCGGUUCCAUGAUUUAGAUAAUAUAGUAAUAAGCUCGUAUAUAUGUACGUAAUAGCCGACUCAUGCCAUGCUUGUGGUACAUUUUUCGUUUAUUAGCCUAUACACUUGUACGCACGCGCACAAUUCCGAACUGCAAUGGCGGCUUUUCACAGAGUGAUCA